rnacentral:lncRNA from 1 species
UAUUUUUCCCAUUAAAAAAAACUGUCGUGAACAUUGUUUUUUAAACACAGCUAUAAUUCUUUCUUUAGGGCAAAUUUCUCAAAACGGAAUUGCUGGAUCAAAGGAGAUGUACACAUAGAAGACUUUUGUUAUGUCCUGCUUCAUUUCCCUCCUGGAAGAUGCAUCAACCUCUACGCCCACCAGCAGCCAAGUGCUAAUUUUUGAAAGUACACUGUAAUGCAUCCAAUGUAGACAAUGGUGUGGGUGAAUUUAAAGCUGCUUUUUAGUAAAUUCACAAGGAAAUAUCUGAGUCGGUUAAAAAGAAGUUCCUCUUUUCCGACUACAUUUCCAGUCAUAGGAACAAUGAGAUUCUCUCUGACUUUGGAGCAACUAGAGAAACUUUUAAACAAAGAAUUGCUUAACGUUCAUCAUGAUGGAUCCAGGUCCUAUCACCCCAGGCUCUUUCCUAAGGCCUGGCCCUCACUCCUACUGUUCUUUCCUCCUGCUGUCAUCUCCUCAGGUUGUUCACAGUGAUAAAACUGUUGUUUACAGACUAUUUGCCAGUCUAGAGCAAUCUCCUUUAGGAUCUCUGAAAUGAAAAGAGGAAACUCGGGGAAGGCGGUUCCUUCUGUCACCCAGGUAAUAGCAAGUGCCAGGACUCAACACAUGUUUCA